rnacentral:rRNA from 1 species
CGGGUGAGUAAUGCGUGACCAACCUGCCCCAUGCUCCAGAAUAGCUCUUGGAAACGGGUGGUAAUGCUGGAUGCUCCAACUUGACGCAUGUCUUGUUGGGAAAGUGUUUAGUGGCAUGGGAUGGGGUCGCGUCCUAUCAGCUUGUAGGCGGGGUAAUGGCCCACCUAGGCUUCGACGGGUAGCCGGCCUGAGAGGGCGGACGGCCACAUUGGGACUGAGAUACGGCCCAGACUCCUACGGGAGGCAGCAGNU